rnacentral:rRNA from 2 species
AAAUUGAAGAGUUUGAUCAUGGCUCAGAUUGAACGCUGGCGGCAGGCCUAACACAUGCAAGUCGAACGGUAACAGGAAGCAGCUUGCUGCUUUGCUGACGAGUGGCGGACGGGUGAGUAAUGUCUGGGAAACUGCCUGAUGGAGGGGGAUAACUACUGGAAACGGUGGCUAAUACCGCAUAACGUCGCAAGACCAAAGAGGGGGACCUUCGGGCCUCUUGCCAUCAGAUGUGCCCAGAUGGGAUUAGCUAGUUGGUGAGGUAACGGCUCACCAAGGCGACGAUCCCUAGCUGGUCUGAGAGGAUGACCAGCCACACUGGAACUGAGACACGGUCCAGACUCCUACGGGAGGCAGCAGUGGGGAAUAUUGCACAAUGGGCGCAAGCCUGAUGCAGCCAUGCCGCGUGUAUGAAGAAGGCCUUCGGGUUGUAAAGUACUUUCAGCGGGGAGGAAGGUGUUGUGGUUAAUAACCGCAGCAAUUGACGUUACCCGCAGAAGAAGCACCGGCUAACUCCGUGCCAGCAGCCGCGGUAAUACGGAGGGUGCAAGCGUUAAUCGGAAUUACUGGGCGUAAAGCGCACGCAGGCGGUCUGUCAAGUCGGAUGUGAAAUCCCCGGGCUCAACCUGG